AUCUCUAAGUCAUAUGGGCUCACCUAAUAGUUAUUGAUCAUACUCCUUAGUUAAGUCAGACCUACCAUUCACAAACAGGUGUAAAACUAUUAUUGCAUCCUUCAUCUAACAAUUAUUGGGUCCAACCCAAUCUUUACCUUAGAGCAACUCUUUGCUAAUAGAGUGGUUGCAUAUUCUCGAUGCAACUGAACCACUGUCACC
rnacentral:lncRNA from 1 species